AGUUCGGCGCGCAGCCGGUUCGCGUCUGUGUGUUCCGCGCGCGACUUCCGCCUGAUCAACGCUCGUUUCUUCGUCGCAACUCGCAUCGGUUCGUCGUUGACUCGGAGUGUUUUUCGCGUUGACUUGCCGUAAACGUGGUCAGAUAAAACAGAAAUUUUUUGCGGGUGAUUAGAGGAUAAUAACGGUGUAUAAGAGGGAACAGCGUGGAGGAUCAUGGUGUGACUCGAGUGAUUAAACAGAUCUUUCGGAAAGAUCGACAAGGUUGACCAGUGGUUGUGUGGUGAUUGGUUUUGGUGGUGGUGCUUGAUACGCUCCUGGGAGUCGGAAGCUCGUUGGCACUUGGGCCUCGUUUUCGUCGGUUUACUCAUGCUGGGAGUUUUGAAGCGGCGUUGGAAGCCAUCGAAAAGGGCUUCCAGCGUCCGCGGACCUGAUUCGCCCCUCAGCUCGGAACUGACGCUCGACAAGCCUCGCCCCAUACCAUCACCCAGACAAAUUCAUCCCCUUUACGGCGAGAAAGCUGGCCUUCUGGGGUACUGCGACCCCGUCGGUAACGUAGAAAAUUUUCCACCAGCCCCUAAUAUCGUCGUCGAGGGUGGCAGAAUCGAGUUUGUGCGCCCCUCGCAGGAUGGCACCACAACACCCCGAAGGAACACCAUGUCCCGAGGCUCGCAGACCUUCAGCGACGAGUCCGAGAAGUCUGAUCCUGCGAAGGAGAGUUUGGAGGAGCGAGUGCAAGAGUUGGAGCAAGCGUUGCAGGCAGAACGCUUCGCUGCACAACGAGAUCGAGCGACGAUCACGAAACUGCAACGACAGAUCAACAAGAGAGAGGCCACGCAGCGAGAUGUGGAACGUGAACGACGACAACGAAUGGAGGCCGAAGCUCGUGUACGCGAGGUUACGGCAGAAGCUGAAAGAGCACGCUCCAGGGUUCAUCAUCUUCAAAGAGAACUGGCCAGGAUGGAGGAGACGUCACGGGGGUUGCUGCAGCACAAGCACAGGGCUGAACAGCUGAAGCAAGAGAAAACCGCGCUCACGCUUUCUUACGAGGCACGCGUACACCAGUAUCAAGCACAAAUCUCGAAGCUGCAACUAGAGAACGAGUCAAUGAGGGGUCAGCUGCGUGGUUUGGAAGCUGCAUGCGCUGGCGAAGUGCAUGCUGCACUUGUGGCACGUCUGGCGACCUUGGAAACAGAACACGCCGCCUUGGCGCGCGACGCCGACGCUCAGCGUCGCCAGUACGAGCGGUGCCUGGACGACGUCGCCAACCAGGUGGUCCGCGCCCUUCUAUCCCAAAAGGGUCUCAGGGAAGAAAUCGGUGCAUUGCAGAGGCGUAUUCGGGAGCUCGAGGCUCAAAAUCGGGCGCUUUCAGGAUUAUUGGCACAGGCAGCGAGUCCUGGAAGUCCGACAGAGUUGAUUCAAGGGAUCCUAGAAGCUGGACCAGCAGCAGUGGUCGCUGCACUUGGUCUGGAUCCAGCUUGGGUUCCUUUAUCGAGGCCCCGUUCGCUUAAUCUACAAAUACCAGUGAUGGCCGCUACCAAGUGUAGACGAAACAGACCUUUGGCUCAGAAACCAUCGGAAGAGGAAGGUAGCGAGAGUCCAGAGAGCGGCAACAGGGAUGAGGGUUACUCGACGAUGUCCAGCGACGUCCAAGGAGAGGGUGCUAGACAGGAGCCAUCCCGAGGGUUGGAGGAUCUCAAAGAAGCGACCGACGAGACGGAGGCGGAUGUUUCUCCGGAUGCACGAUUGGUCGCCCUUGACGCCGGCGAUCCUGACGUUCUAUUUUUGCCGUUGAAUCUCACCGUAGGAAUAAAUCCACGUCACAGCUAUCCACCGACCAAAGAUUUGCUGCCGUAUCAACACGUGAUGCGUAGCUUCUCUGACAGUCACCUAUGUCUCAAGUUGACCACAACGACCAAUUUUACACCGUACAAACUGCCGAGCCCCAUUGGAUCCUCCUCUUUGCUACUCGUUGAAGAGGAGGGUUGGGACGCUGAAUACGUACAACAAUGGCUCAGGUUGGACGACAGCAGAAGUGCUCAACAACAUCGAGAUCUCCUCGAGUUGGAAUACGACAGAGCAGAACUGGAAGAUUGGAGUUUCUCGUUGUCCACCGAGGACCUUGUUCAAAAUGAAUCCACGGCAUGGAAGGAACCUGCUACCGCCACGACCACCCCGGCUCUCCCGGCAAUCAAGGAACAUAAUCCUCUAGAAUUGGAGGAGGACGCGAACGAAUGCUUAUGGAAUGGUGCCAGUUACCUAGCUGAUAGAACCGGAGGCGAAUUGGUUGCCUUAUUAAUGGAUGCUAGAGCAACAGGAUCGUGGCCGUACGCGACAAGUCCAGGCGCCUCCUGGAGCAGCGAAGAAGGAGGCCAAGAGAAUUCGAGCAAACGAUCAUCGGCAGCUUUGUCUGGCUGCAGCGACGAUCCAGAUUCUCCAUCCGUCGGAACCGACUUUACCAGAGACUUCUACAGACUGGUAAAGUUCGAGAGUACAAAAAGCUUGGCCAGUACGUCAUCCAGGAGCGGAAGACCUCCUCCAGACAGGGAGCAAGCUCUCCAAAGCGUAUUGUCAUUCAUCGCUGAACAACAAAUGUACCUUGCCGAACUGCCGAAUAAUCUUCUGGAACACAACCCGGCCCACACAACGGAAGUUGUAGAGGAAACUGAAAACAAAGACGAGCGUGGAACCGAGGCGAUGUGCACCGAAAUAGAAACAUCCGUCGAUCAAGAUAACAGCAACACGGAGAACGUUGUUGAAACGAGCAGUAACGACGAUCUGCUGGAUCAGAUACCUGUGCCGUCUUUAGCGCCAGAAGAGAGAAUAAUCAGCGCAGUGGCGUGUAACGGUGGUGUGUCCUACACCACGGUAGCACCCUCGGAAUUGGGCGCCGUUCCUGAGGAAGACGAGGAAGCCGCCACUUCUUCUACACCGAGCACGGUUGUGAGUCCAGCAAGAGCGCCCCUGUUAGUCGAAGGCAGAGAUCGAUCGUUGAGUUUCCAUGAGCGUGCGACAUCGAAAGAUGUGAUAGACGAACUGAAUCGAAUGAUCAGGAAGGGUGAAGAAAACACAGUCAGCCACGAAACCCAGGUGCCGCUAGAGAAAUUGGAUCUCGCUUGCUGCUGUCCAACAGGAUGGGUUCACGUUGAACGAGACAUUGACUUUACCGACCCAAAAGCAAGAGCCAAUCUUUUAGACGUGAUGUUAGAAAGCAGCGAAAGUUCUUCGGCGACAUCGAGCAGCGGAUCAGCAGGAAGUGACUCUGGGGAUGAACCACCGGAUUACCGUCACUUGCACAGACUCCACCGAUACCGACGACAAAAGAAAGAUGGUAGCUCCUACGCGGUGUGCUUUGAUUGUCACAAGAAAAGCUACGUAGUUCGGCUUAGUGACGAUCAGUUUCUGUAAUCGACAUGCCAGUUGGGAGGAAUCGUUUCGCCGGGACCUAGUUUGGGCCAGAUCCAACGUGAACUAGCCGGUAUAGGAAGAGAAAGAAAAGAGAUCAAGUGAGGUCUGAGGCAUGUUGACCCGCUGC
rnacentral:misc_RNA from 1 species